AUAGCGAGGGAACGACGGCAUCUGUGCGCGGUCGCGCUUGCCCUGCAUGUAAACUCGACAGAGCAGGCACAUACCCUUAGCCCAGCACAGCGUAUAUGAGUGGCGGCCCGAACACGGUGGCGGUGCUGCCGUCGCUACGCAAGUCGAUGACGGUCUCCGCCGUUCCUGGGCAGCGCCCGCGCGAUAGCGUCAGCGCCCUCGCCCCGCCCGGCAACAGCAGCCGUGUCAACAUUGUCGGCGGCUACGAGGCGGGGUCGAAGCCGGUUUCUGGGCGCCCCGGCACCCUGCGCAAGAGUCGCUCCGGCACGAGCGAUGAGGCGUUCCUCGCCUCGCUUGUCGGCACCGACUUGGCCUCCACAAAGGCUGCCGCGGACGCCUACUACAACCAGUACAAGGAGAAGGCCGACGAGAACGCAAUGCUGCGCGCUGCUCUGCGGCAGCAAGAGGUGGACUCGGUGCAGGUAGUGCAGUUUCUGGAAAGCAAGCUGAGAGAGUUAGAGACGGAGGCGCAGACGUACAAAACGGGCAUCACGCAGCUGCUAGACGACCACCGCCGCGCGGAGGAGGAGCUGCAGUCGAAGUACGGUGAGAUGCUGCGCGAGCGUGAUGUCGAGCUCGCGCGCUACGCAUCCGUCACCACGAAGCUGCACGAUGACCUUCGCCAAGCCUCCCGCUAUGUCCAGCAACGACAGGAGCACACGGUGGAGCUGCAACAGCUGCAGAAGCAGCUGGAGGACCUAGUCGUGGAGCACGAGAAGGAGGUAGCAGCCUUGCACUUCCAGACGGUGGACCGCAAGCUGAAGCUCAUCGCGCUGGAAAAGACGAUGCGGGCCGAGUUUGACGAGCUGGUGGAGGCGCGGGCGGCCAGGGCGCUGGAGGAGCGCUUCCAGAGCGUGCUGGAGCGGACGCGGCGGUUGGAAGAGGAGAAGGCGUCGAUGACGCACGACAUCCACAAUCUGAUGCAGCUCACGACCGACAUCGACGCCGAGCGGGUGCAAGUGCGGCGCCACGCGGCAGUGCAGCAGCAGGCGCACAAGGAGUUGGCGCACCACGCAUUGGCGCGCAGACGGCAGAAGGAGAAGGCGGAUCUCAAAAUCUACGAGCUGGAGGAGCGGGUGGGAGAGCUGACGGCGCAGCAGCAAGUGGUGCGGGCGGAGCUGCAGGAGAACUAUCAGAGUCGCAUCGACGCGCUGGAGGCGGAGCUGAAGUCGACGCGCACGUCGUUGCAGUCGCACCGCGCAGAGCUGCAGCGCAUGCGCCAGCUCACCGCCCGCGUGGUGGCCGAGCGCAGUGAGCUGGAGAAUUUCUUUCACACCGCGCUGGCCGAUUGCCUGCGCUAUCGGCAUGACAUGUCGGCAAGCCACCAUGCGUCCACUGCCGCCUCUGCGACGAGCUCAAGCAAGGGUGCAAUACCGUUGGGGAACGUGGAUUCGGGUGGCGGGGUGAGUAGAGGUGCCGCGUCGCGCCAAACAGCACAGGAGUUUGCCCCGACGGUCGCCGCGGUCGCGAGUCCGGCGCCGUCGUCGUCGCCGGCGACCACGCUGAAAAACAGCGGCGUCUUUUUCGAGGAGCUGUCGUGGAAAGACAAGGAGAAGGUCAUCAAGUCGCUGCUCUUCUUCUUCAACGCCAACUAUUACAAAUCCUCGUCGCCGGCACCGACAAUGGCAGGCGGUAGUCCUCGGGAGGACGCGUGUACUUCAUAACACGGGCGGCACCCACGCCCCUUCUUGUUCACCAUGUACAUCAUACGAAUG
rnacentral:misc_RNA from 1 species